rnacentral:rRNA from 1 species
AGCAGCCGCGGUAAUUCCAGCUCCAAUAGCGUAUAUUAAAGUUGUUGCAGUUAAAAAGCUCGUAGUUGAAUUUCGGGAUCAGUACGCUGGUCGUGCCUUUGGUAUGUACUGGUGUCACUGAUUCCUCCCUUCUGAAGAACCGUUAUGCCAUUUAUUUGGUGUGGCGGGAAAUCAGGACUGUUACUUUGAAAAAUUAGAGUGUUUAAAGCAGGCUCGCGCUUGAAUACAUUAGCAUGGAAUAAUGAAAUAGGACGUUUGAUCUUAUUUUGUUGGUUUCUAGGAUCGACGUAAUGAUUAAUAGGGAUAGUUGGGGGCAUUAGUAUUCAAUUGUCAGAGGUGAAAUUCUUGGAUUUAUUGAAGACUAACUACUGCGAAAGCAUUUGCCAAGGAUGUUUUCAUUAAUCAAGAACGAAAGUUAGGGGAUCGAAGACGAUCAGAUACCGUCGUAGUCUUAACCAUAAACUAUGCCGACUAGGGAUCGGAUGGUGUUAAUUUUUAAUGACUCAUUCGGCGCCUUAAC